UACGGAGGGUGCAAGCGUUAAUCGGAAUUACUGGGCGUAAAGCGCACGCAGGCGGUGUUGUAAGACAGACGUGAAAUCCCCGGGCUCAACCUGGGAACUGCAACUGUUACUGGCAAGCUUGAGUGUGUUAGAGGGGGGUGGAAUUCCAGGUGUAGCGGUGAAAUGCGUAGAGAUCUGGAGGAAUACCGGUGGCGAAGGCAGCCCCCUGGACGAAGACUGACGCUCAGGCGCGAAAGCGUGGGGAGCAAACAGG
rnacentral:rRNA from 1 species